rnacentral:rRNA from 1 species
AUGGCCCCUGUUCGUCGCCCGGAGCACGGACCGCCGCCGCAUUACAGUGAUGAUGAUCCUAUGUUUUCUGUUCAAAUAUGGCAUGGAGGUUUUUUCAUGGGCCAGGGCAGAAGCAAAAAGUACUAUGGAGGGCAGAGCAUCUGGUUUGAUAACAUAGACAAGAACACAUGGUCACCCCCAGAUGUGGAUGAUCUCAUAGAGCAGAUAGGGUAUGAGAAGGAAGGAAAGAUGACAGUGUACUACUGCAUGCCAGGUCUUCAACUUAACACAAAUGGGCUUAGAGUGAUCAAUGGAGAGGAUGCCACAGAUAACAUGAGAGCUUUUGUGACAUUUGGGCAUCAUUUCAUGGAUAUUUUUUUGGAACAUGAUGAUUCUAUCAGGGAUCUUGAUGAUGUAGUUAGGUUCCCAAUUCAAGAUCUCCCAAAAGUCAUCAGCCCAAUGAAGCCAUUGAAUGUGGUCAGACCUGAAUCAGGGGAAGGUUUCAGGACAGCAACUGAAGUACUAAAGGAGAAAGGCAAGUCAUUUAUCAAUAUGGAUGCAGAUGAUGUUCAUGACAAUGAUGCAAGUGGAGGAUCAACAGAUUCAGAAGAAGAGGGUAGUGACAUUGAUUAUGUGCCUGAAAUUGCAGAUAGUGACUAUGCCAUAUCAGAGGGAGAUGAUGACUUGUAUGUGAACAAUUGCUUUGAUGCUGUAGAGGAGAAUAGGAAUGAGGAACAAUUGGAUGUGUCAGAAGAUGAUGAGUUAAGAAGGCCAGAUUCUGAUGAUGAAGGAAUAAUUGAGAUGAACUUCAAGACAUUUAGGGAUGAAGAUUUAAUAAGCCCUAAGUUUCAUGUGGGGCAAGUUUUUCAGAAUGUGCAGCUGCUUAGGAAGGCUAUCAAAGAAUACUCAUGCAGGAACAGGGUCAACCUGAAGAUGCCAACUAAUGACAAGAUGAGGGUUUGUGCAAAAUGUGAGGAGGGGUGCCCUUGGUAUCUAUUUGCAUCCAAUGACAAUAGGACAAAGGCAUUCAUGGUUAAGAAGCUUGUGGACAAACACACAUGCAGCAAGAAAUGGCAAGUGAAAAGCUUCACAGCUCCAUACAUGGCAGAGAAGUAUUUGGACUCAUUUAGGGCAGAUGAAAACAUGAGCAUGAAGAACUUCUCUAGGGUGGUGCAGGAACAAUGGAAUAUGAAGCCUACAAGGAGUAAGAUUAGGAGAGCAAAAAGGUUGGCUCUUAAUAUUGUCCAUGGAGAUGAGGAGAAACAGUACAAUAAGCUUUGGGACUAUGCAAAUGAAUGGAGAAGGUCAAAUCCAGGGAGCACAUUUUAUUUAGCAGCAGAUACAGAUGGUACUUUCCUACACUGCUAUUUCUCUUUGGAUCCAUGCAAGAGAGGGUUUAUGCAGGCUUGUAGGCCAGUAAUCUGCCUAGAUGGAUGCCAUUUGAAGACCAGAUAUGGAGGUGUUCUUCUCACUGCAGUUGGCCUAGAUCCAAAUGAUUGCAUCUAUCCAAUUGCUUGUGCUAUUGUUGACAUUGAGAACACUGACACCUGGAGGUGGUUCUUAUCCUCUCUGAAACAAGACCUAGUCAUUACUGAAACUGAUCUGUGGACUAUUAUGUCUGACAAGCAGAAGGGUUUGAUCAAAGCUGUCAGAGAUUACUUUCCACAUGCAGAGCACAAGUUCUGUGUCAGGCACUUGUGGCAAAACUACCAACAGCAGUUUAGGGGUGAAGUGCUCAAGAACCAGCUGUGGAAAUGUGCUAGGAGCACAACUCCUUCUGAUUUUGAACAGAACAUGGAAGAGCUUAAAGUGAUAAACUUUAAAGCAUGGAAAUGGCUGUCAGGGAUGGACCCCAACACUUGGGUUAGGGCAUAUCAACAAGAGUUCCCCAAGUGUGAUAUUCUUCUCAAUAAUGCUUGUGAAGUGUUUAACAAGUACAUUCUUGAGGCCAGAGAGCUCCCCAUAUUGUCAUUGAUCAUGACAAUAAAAAAGCAGUUGAUGACAAGGUUCUACAACAAGAGAGAGGAAGCAGAAACAUGGGAUGGCACUGUUUGCCCCAAAAUUAAGAAAAGACUUGAGAAGAAUGAUGAUUUGUCAGCUACAUGUCAUGCAUCAAAUUGCAGGGGAUGGAAUAUUCCAGGUUGA